CGCUGGCGGCGUGCCUAACACAUGCAAGUCGAGCGAGAAUUUAGUAAUUGAUCCCUUCGGGGUGAUUUUACUAAAGGAAAGCGGCGAACGGGGUGAGUAACGCGUGAGCAACCUGUCUCAUACAGGGGGAUAACACUUGGAAACAGGUGCUAAUACCGCAUAAGACCACAGUGCCGCAUGACACAGGGGUCAAAGAAAUUCGGUAUGAGGUGGGCUCGCGUCUGAUUAGAUAGUUGGUGAGGUAACGGCUCACCAAGUCGACGAUCAGUAGCCGGCCUGAGAGGGUGAACGGCCACAUUGGGACUGAGACACGGCCCAAACUCCUACGGGAGGCAGCAGUGGGGAAUAUUGCACAAUGGGGGAAACCCUGAUGCAGCAACGCCGCGUGAGUGAAGAAGUAUUUCGGUAUGUAAAGCUCUAUCAGCAGGGAAGAAAAUGACGGUACCUGACUAAGAAGCCCCGGCUAACUACGUG
rnacentral:rRNA from 1 species